rnacentral:rRNA from 1 species
AUUUGACGUUAGCGACAGAAGAAGCACCGGCUAACUCCGUGCCAGCAGCCGCGGUAAUACGGAGGGUGCGAGCGUUAAUCGGAAUUACUGGGCGUAAAGCGCAUGCAGGUGGUUGUUAAGUCAGAUGUGAAAGACCCGGGGCCGUCAACCUCGGAAUAGCAUUUGAAACUGGCAGACUAGAGUACUGUAGAGGGGGGUAGGAAGUUUCAGGUGUAGCGGUGAAAUGCGUAGAGAUCUGAAGGAAUACCGGUGGCGAAGGCGGCCCCCUCGGACAGAUACUGACACUCAGAUGCGAAAGCGUGGGGAGCAAACAGGAUUAGAUACCCUGGUAG